ensembl:lncRNA
GAAGAGCUCCCCCUCCCUCUCAAACACAGAGAUUGGCUUUGGUUAAGAGAACUUGUUCAGGAAGAAUAAAUUGAAACUUUUGAUGUGUUAAACAUGAAAGGCAACACGUUAUUUUUGCCCUGAAAUGGACCGUGUGGAGCGCGUUUUUAAAGGAACUGGAAUGAGAUGAUAACCUGCUGUGUGGGGAGCAUCAUGAAGCCCAGCAUCAAAGCAAAGGACGCAAACAAACUCAUCAGGAAGGCCCAGUCUGUUGUUGGCACGGAGCUCGAAACCCCAGAGGAGGCGAUCAGUGACAGAACGUGGACAAGACUGCUGCUUGCCUCGUUUUCCCUGGCCACCAAACAGCCUGAGGACCCCUUCCACGCUCAUCAGUUUGCCUUUCUGAGUUCGUCUCCCUCUGGAUAUCCAUCACCAGGUCCACCUGCGCCGCC